AGUUACAGUAAGUUAAGCAAUAUAAAAUGUUAAGAUCCAGGCAAUAGGUCUUAUAUGAUAUAUAUCUUAUUUAUAUCUUGUAUUCUGCAGCAUGUUAAAGAAUAUAUCUGCAUGGUGCACUCUGACUGUUGACAAUAUUCGCAUAUUGAUAUGAGUAAAAGUUACUUCAAGAACCAGAAAGUGUUUUUGAUAAAUAUUAAUAAUAACAGGAUUUUUAAUUAGAUUUUGUUUAUCUAUUGGAAAAGUGUUAAGGAAUUUUUGGGCUCUAAUGACAGGUUUUUUUUUUGGAAUGAGGGACUUGUAUCUAGUAGCCACGGCACUGUAUUUAAGUAACUAAAGGAAUGUUAUCAAUUUAUUAUAUGAAUCAUAAGCAUGUGCUUUUCUAUAACAAGUACCUUUGAUGGUGAAAAUUACAUUUUUUAUCUGAAGAGAGUUGGGAGAAAUGUUCAUAUUGAAACGAUAUAUUGUGUAAAGAGGUUUUCAAAGAAGUCGUUUUACAACAAUGGAAAAGCUUUCGAUUCCCGAGAUAAACGUGAAAGCAUUUGAUACAUGAUUAAAGAAUUGUUCAAAGUUAGAGUUAGAAACAACUGGGAAAAAAAGAUAAAGAUUGUAUAGCAAGAUAACAAUUGACAGACGACUUAAAAGAUUGCAAAUGAUAUGAAUCAGCAAAGCAAGGUGAAUAAGUAAAACUUUUUGUAUUAAAAAAUUUUAUGUCUAAAAAUUUUUCAUUUUAGGUUUUAAUAAUUACCUUCUAAUCUAUUUUUUAUUUUGUUUCCUUUAAAAUGUUUUUAAAUUAUAAAUUUGAACUUCCUGUUGGUUGCAAUUUAUUGAAAGCUUUUGGUUGGUAGCGACAAGUUAAUGUUCCAAUAUAUUCAAAGCAACAGAUAAUUAAUAGGGUUGAUUUUUAGAAUCUCAACAUUAGUACGUGUUCCCAAAAUAAUUGUAUACGGAAACAGUUAGCAGUUGAGUUCAGAUUCAAACACUAUGUAUUAUACUGACUGGUGCGAAGGAAUUUUAAAGAAAGUUUGGGAAUUUCUGCAAACGCGCUGUGUCAGCAAACAAACAAACUUAACUGGUUUAAAGGGUUUGCUGACUCAGCGAAAGUGAUUCCAGAACAUUCUAUAGCAAUUAUUCAAAACGACAAUAACAAUAAUUUUAUUGUCGUUUUGUUGUUGACAGGAGUUUUGAGUUUUGUUUUACUUUGCUAUAGUUUUGUAGAUUUUUGUAAAGAAUCUUAAAAUAUAAAUAUACAAUAUUUAAUGUAUUUUGAUGCAUUUUCGAAACAUAAAAUGGUAGCAAAGGGUAGUUACAUUUAAUAAUUGUUAAUUGUUUGAUCUUCGUUGCUUCGAAAUUAACUGAAAUCGUGAAAUCAAAGAAGAACUUUAAAAAAGUAAAAACUAUGGGUACAAACCAGAAUAAAAAAAAAACAAUCAUCGGAAGAAGAAUCAACAAAUAAUAAAGAUGUUGAUAUAUUUAUGGCGUCAGUCAAACAAAACAAAACAAUAUCAAAGACUCACUUAACGAAAACAAAAUAAAAACUGUUGCAUUUAUUCGAUGAUAAUUUAUUAAGCACAUUUGAGUUUAAAGAACAUCAAAAGAAAUAUGAAAAUCAACAUCAGGCAGUAAUCGAAUUGUUAAACAGUUAUCCCAACAAUACGAAAUUAUGGGAAACGUUGAUAAAAUGAGUUAAAUAGUUGACGAAAUCAAAAAAUCGAAACAGAAUUCACUCAAGUUAUGGAUAAAAUAAAUGGACGUUUAUUCAGUAGAAAAGACAAUUCUUAAAGUAUAAUACCAGCUAUUCCAUCUAAUGUUGAAAUAUUGCAACGAAAAAAAUACAAAAUCAAGACACCAUUUUCAAGAAGCAGAUCGAGCUUAAACAAAAACAAGAAAAAGCUUUGUUAAAAAAGAAAGCACUAGAAGAAAAACACAAAAGGAAAUAAGAAGCACUUAAAAAAGAAAAUGUUGACGAAAGCACAAGUUUUAUGGAAACUAAUUAUAUUUAUGCAAAUCAAGAAGUUAUGCUAGAUAUUUCAGACAAUGAAUUAAAUGCAGAUAUUGGUGUCUUUAAAUUAUCAAAGUCGAACUCAAUGUUACUUUCAAUUCCAAUUUUAAGCCUUGAAAAAAAAGUUAAUGCAAGAAAGCAAGAUAUUGGACACGAUAUUUUGAGACAGUUAAAAAGAGUUUUGAUUCCUGUUUUUACUUGUGAUUAGCGUAACUAUGAAACUGGAAGUCGGCGUUUUUAGCCUGUGUUAAUCAAGCUCCACGACUGCAGAGUACAAGUAGUUACAAUUAAUACAAUAUUUGUCUGGUUCUGCGUUAACCACCAUUGAUGGAUUGGUUUACUCAAGCUAUGCCUAUGAAGCUCCGAAAGAAAAAUAUGAGCUAAAAUAUGAUGGACACAGAAGACAGUUAAUGCUUUACAAAGACGAGUUAGAAAACUUCAUAUCAAUAAAAAAUGACUAUCCUAAGGAUCUGGAAAUAUCCGCUAAAAAAUUUAUUAGACAGCAGUUACUAACCUCAAAAAAGCAGAAAAAAGGCAAGAAGAGCUCGGCAAUGGAACAUUUUGUAGAAAACUCCAAAAUUUUUUAUAGAAAAAUGUUUACUCAUUAUCAACGUUGGGUUUUCAAAAAUGCAAAAGAAGAAAAUGUUGAAACCUUACGACAGUUUAUUAUUAUAUGAUUAGAGUUUUGAAUUGCUGCAGCUGAAACAAUUCAUGGGCUGCAAAGUACAAGUCGUUAUAAACUAAAACAUGAUCAAUCGUAUUUUAGUGAAACCGGAACAAUUGAAACGAGAAAAUCGUGGUUGAAAAAUCUUGUUUGUAAGCAAAAUCAUGCCUUGUGGAACUGUGACCAAUUUAAACAACUUGAUACUAUAGAUAGAUGGAUUUUGCCAAAAAGUAAUUAAUUAAGUUACAGGGUUAUUCAUUUUUAAAUGCGCGUCUAUUCAUUUUUGCAUGCGCCUUUAUUCAUUCUUAUA
rnacentral:lncRNA from 1 species